GCUUUCGUGAUGUAGUGGUCAACACGUUCGAUACGUAACCGAGAGGUCCGUGGUUCGAUUCCCGGCGAAGGCG
rnacentral:tRNA from 1 species